CACGUAGGCGGGCAUUUAAGUCAGGGGUGAAAUCCCAGAGCUCAACUCUGGAACUGCCUUUGAUACUGGGUGUCUUGAGUAUGGAAGAGGUGAGUGGAAUUCCGAGUGUAGAGGUGAAAUUCGUAGAUAUUCGGAGGAACACCAGUGGCGAAGGCGGCUCACUGGUCCAUUACUGACGCUGAGGUGCGAAAGCGUGGGGAGCAAACAGGAUUAGAUACCCUAGUA
rnacentral:rRNA from 1 species